AGGCUCUAUGGAAGUUGGAAUCAGUUACUAUAAAUACCCAUAUGGUCAUACCGUAAUCAAGUACCCAAGAAAAAAGAAGGUGUUACAGCUACAAAAGCAUUAUACAAUACAAAUGGCAUGUCAAGGAAAGAGUUCAUGGCCAGAACUAGUUGGAGAGAACGGCCAGACUGCAAAAGAAACAAUUGAGAGAGAAAACCCUUUGGUCACAGCUAAUGUAGCUCCAGUGGGAUCAUCUGGUACCACUGAUUUUCGUUGUGACCGAGUUCGUGUUUUUGUUGACAGAGACAACAAUGUUGCACAGGUUCCUGUCAUUGGUUAGAGAUUCACUAAUGACUUGAGAAUGAAGUAGUCAUAUCUUUUUCUUAAAAGUGUGAUUGUACUAUACAAUUUGCCCCAAUAUGAGUUUGAUAAAUAUCUAUGUAAACUAAUGUUUAGUAUGAACAAGAGUGGCUUAAUAAAGUUAUUUUUGCUACUAUUAAUUAGUAUAUUAAA